rnacentral:rRNA from 1 species
UGGGGAAUUUUGGACAAUGGGCGAAAGCCUGAUCCAGCAAUGCCGCGUGUGUGAAGAAGGCCUUCGGGUUGUAAAGCACUUUUGUCCGGAAAGAAAUCCUUGGCUCUAAUACAGUCGGGGGAUGACGGUACCGGAAGAAUAAGCACCGGCUAACUACGUGCCAGCAGCCGCGGUAAUACGUAGGGUGCAAGCGUUAAUCGGAAUUACUGGGCGUAAAGCGUGCGCAGGCGGUUUGCUAAGACCGAUGUGAAAUCCCGGGCUCAACCUGGGAACUGCAUUGGUGACUGGCAGGCUAGAGUAUGGCAGAGGGGGGUAGAAUUCCACGUGUAGCAGUGAAAUGCGUAGAGAUGUGGAGGAAUACCGAUGGCGAAGGCAGCCCCCUGGGCCAAUACUGACGCUCAUGCACGAAAGCGUGGGGAGCAAACAGGAUUNGAUACCCUGGUAGUCCACGCCCUAAACGAUGUCAACU